CACGGGUCUCUCUCCGUUUGAGUGUAGUUUAGGUUACCAGCCACCUAUCUUUCCCAGUACGGAGUCCGAGGUCACUGUUCCCUCCGCUCACGCUUUCAUCCAGAGGUGCCGUCACGCAUGGAGCAGAGCCCGUGAGACUCUUCUCCGGGUGGGGCGCGCACCAAGGCUAAGGCCGAUCGCCACCGGUCGAAGCCUCCGGUAUACGUCGUUGGCCAAAGAGUGUGGCUUUCUACUAAGAACAUUCCACUCCGAUCCGUUUCGAACAAGCUUGCCCCCAAAUUUAUCGGCCCGUUCAGAGUCACCAGGAUCAUUAGUCCGGUGGCGGUCCGGCUCAAGCUUCCUCCGGCGUAUAGGAGAAUUCAUCCUACCUUUCAUGUGUCUAAAAUAAAACCUGUGUUUCAGGCACGCAUUAACCCGCCGGUCCCGGUUCCCCCGCCGCCACGACUUGUUGAUGGGGAGACCACCUUUUCUGUCAAUCGUAUUUUGGACUCUAGAAGGAGGGGACGCGGAUUCCAGUACCUGGUGGACUGGGAGGGUUACGGCCCGGAGGAGAAAGUUGGGUACCUGCUAGGGACAUUCUGGAUCACUCCCUUAUCGAUGAUUUCAAUCGACAGUGUUUGUGUGGGCGUGGUUUCCCAAUCUCGGCCUGAUUGUCUGCGCCAGCUGGAACCACUUAUCUUCCCUUUAUAUGUUCUGUUACCAGUGUUUCUUGUUGUCAGAUCGUUGUUUCUUCUCUGAGGUUGUGUCGUGUGUCCGUGCUCUUCUCUUGUGUGGAUUAUCUGCUGUGCUCCUUCCUACUCAUCUGGACACACUCCCCUGGUUUUCUCAGCACGUUAUGAUCGGAAGAUGCGCCCGAGUUCCUGGGUCGGAUUCCUUCUGAGUACAGUCUGUCUGUCAUGUUGCUGCUGUGAACUACAUUCAUUAAAACCAUCGUUGCUUGCAUCUUGCAUCCGCCUCUGUGUUGUAACACAUACAGUCAGUGUCCAUAUCAGUUACUAUUCCAUUUAAUCCUUAUGAAUUUAAAGGAGGAAUAUUCAUGGUUACAGGGAUACUCUUGAGCGGGAUAUCAAAGGUGCAUGUAAAGAGCUUAUCCAGAAUAAUACUGGGAUAUGAGCUACUAUCCGGAAUACUGUGUGCAUACAGUGCCUUGCGAAAGUAUUCGGCCCCCUUGAACUUUGCGACCUUUUGCCACAUUUCAGGCUUCAAACAUAAAGAUAUAAAACUGUAUUUUUUUGUGAAGAAUCAACAACAAGUGGGACACAAUCAUGAAGUGGAAUGGCAUUUAUUGGAUAUUUCAAACUUUUUUAACAAAUCAAAAACUGAAAAAUUGGAAGUCAAGAAAGGUCUCAUUGAUCUCUUUACAAGUAGCAGGAUUUACACGAUAAUGAGGGGUACACAAAAUGAGACAGACCCUCUGCCUUGGACAGAAGUACUCUCCCAAGUAUAGAAAGAUCUCUUUGUUGCCAAUUAUUAAAUAUAUUUUUGGUUGUCUAAAUUUUAGGAGAGAAAUUCAAAUGUUGUCUGUUGUGUUUUUGACAUAUGUAUUCCUAAAUAUUUAACACAGUCCUUUACAUUAAUAUUUUAUAUAUUUUUUAUCAUCAGAGUCAAAUAAAGAUGAGAUUUCACAUUUGGUGCAAUAGAAAAUGCAGUUAUAGCAUUAAGGGCAUGGGCGACCUGGUCUUUGUCUCUUAAGAAAGGAUAGUAUCAUCUGCCAGUUGGGAAAUUUUGAUUUCUUUGUUAAAAAUGGUUAAGCCAUACAAAUUUGCAUUAUUCAGAAUAUCUAGAGAUAGAAGUUGCACCACCAAAAUGAAUAAAAUUGUGAAAUUGGCCAUCCCUGUCGUACACUUCUGUUGAUACUGAAUCUUUUUGAAGUAUUAAGGUUUAGUAACACAGAACUAUUUAUAUAUUUUGUCAAACAUGGAAAUUACUUUGAUAAAAUGUUCACCAAAUCCAAAAUGUUUAAGAGACCUAAAGAGAAAUGAAUGUUCAAUUGUGUCAAAGGCUUUACUACAGAAUUAAAAAAAACAAGACAACCGCA